AUGAACCCCACUCUGGGAAAGCUCAGUGCUGCUCGGCUUAGGGGAAGUAGACCUGGAGCUUUGAGAUUCGAACCAGUGCUGGAGGAUUCCCUGUCCACCCAAUGUCCAGGCUACUGAGAAGAAGCAAAGUCUGAGCCUAACUUGGCUCCUGGGAGGCGUCAUCCUUCUGGCGACCUCAGUCUCCUGCAACCGGAUCUUCCAAGGACCCAACAUUAAGGAAGAAGUCUUAUUGGCAGAUUGAACACCAACUACCUUCCAAUCUCUGGGGAAGGAGUUAAAGUAGAACCAGGCUUUCCCAUUGAUGAGUUCUCUAUAUCCAUCCUCACUGGGAAGCUGACUACUGUCUUUCUUCAUUGUCUUUGUGAUUGGUUUGCCCAGCAAUGUCAUGCCCUCUGGGUCUUUCUUUUCCAGAUGAAGAAAAAGCACCCUGCUGUGAUUUACAUGGCCAAUCUGACCUUGGAAGACCUCCUCUCUGUCAUCUGGUUCCCCCUGAAGACUGCCUACUGCCUACAUGGCAACAACUGCAUUUAUGGGGAUGUAUUUUGCAAGGUGUUCACUGACUUUUUCUAUGGCAACAUGUACUGCUCCAUUCUCUUCAUGACCUUCCUCAGUGUACCUGGAGGACAAAUGAGCAUGAUGUCACCAACUAACCCACAGUGUGGAGAGGGGAAAUUCCAAAUUGUUCAUCUCUAGAUGAAGAACUACAGGAGUUGAAGCAAAUGGAGAGAAUCCUACAGUUUGGAGAAGAAACUCAAGCUACCAAGAUUCUUUAAAUCACCUAGAUGACAGACACCAAUUGAUCACAAAGGAGCAAGAGUCUGAGAGUACCUGAGAGAGCAGGACCAGUGGACCACGGGGACGAAAAUGUGGCUGCUCAGAGCCAAGUGGGAGUCAUAGCUUUUGAAACAGAUGUUGAUGAGAUAUUUUUUCUUGACAUUUGACAAAAUUUGGUACUAAAUUGGAUUUGAGUAGUGUAGGAAAGGGAACAAUUGCAAAUGCCUUUGAGAGGAAUAAAUGUUUUAUUGAAAAUUUCGUGGAGCAUUUACAAAAGAUGUAACUGAUAUUUAGUCAAUAAACUAUCCCACUCAGAAA